rnacentral:rRNA from 1 species
CCUANGGGUGGCAGCAGUCGAGAAUAAUUCACAAUGGGGGCAACCCUGAUGGUGCAACGCCGCGUGGAGGAUGAAGGUCUUCGGAUUGUAAACUCCUGUCAUCCGGGAGUAAGACCUGGCGAUGAAUAGUCGACAGGGUUGAUAGUACCGGAAGAGGAAGGGACGGCUAACUUCGUGCCAGCAGCCGCGGUAAUACGAAGGUCCCGAGCGUUGUUCGGAAUCACUGGGCGUAAAGGGAGCGUAGGCGGCGUGGUAAGUCAGAUGUGAAAUCCCGGGGCUCAACCCCGGAACUGCAUCCGAUACUGCCGUGCUAGAGGAUUGGAGAGGUAGCUGGAAUUCACGGUGUAGCAGUGAAAUGCGUAGAUAUCGUGAGGAACACUCGUGGCGAAAGCGAGCUACUGGACAACUCCUGACGCUGAGGCUCGAAGGCCAGGGUAGCGAAAGGGAUUAGAUACCCCUNUANUC